CCACUGCUGAGGAGUCUCGCAAUAGGACGAAACGAUCUUCCAGUGC
rnacentral:hammerhead_ribozyme from 1 species